rnacentral:rRNA from 1 species
GACGAACGCUGGCGGCGUGCCUAACACAUGCAAGUCGAACGGGGAUUUUGUUUCGGCAGAAUCCUAGUGGCGAACGGGUGAGUAACGCGUAGGCAACCUGCCCCCCGGAUUGGGACAACACCCCGAAAGGGGUGCUAAUACCGGAUACGAAGACUUCAUCGCAUGGUGGUGUUUUGAAAGAUGGCCUCUAUUUAUAAGCUAUCGCCGGGGGAUGGGCCUGCGUUCGAUUUGCUUUUUUGGUGGGGUAACGGCCCACCUAUGCGACGAUCGGUAGCCGGUCUGAGAGGAUGAACGGCCACAUUGGGACUGAGACACGGCCCAGACUCCUACGGGAGGCAGCAGUGGGGAAUCUUCCGCAAUGGGCGCAAGCCUGACGGAGCAACGCCGCGUGGGUGAGGAAGUCCUUCGGGACGUAAAGCCCUGUUGUUUAUGACGAACGGGCUUCCUGUGAAGAUGGGAAGCAGUGACGGUAUAGACGAGAGCCACGGCUACUACGUGCAGCAGCGCGGUAUACGUAGUGGCAGCGUUGUCCGGAUUAUGGGCGUAAGCGCAUGUAGCGGGGGUUAUUCUGUCUGAAUGCGGGGCUACCCCCUUUGCAUGAACUGUCUCUGUUGUGGAGAAAGGGAACUCCUCGCGUAGCUAUUGAAACUGAGCCUUAGUCGUGACGGACGAUCCUCCAAGGGUUUCCUGUAGAUGAGUAGACGAUCGCG